UGUUCUUGCAUUCGAGCCGAAGCCGAAAAGUGAGAGAGAUGGACGUAGCGAAAAGCAAAAAUGCCUCACCGCCUCCGCCGCCGCAUUCUUUCGCCACCGCUCGCAGUUGCCGCCGUCGUCCAGCCCCCAAGUUCUCCCCGCAUUUUCCCAGCUCGCCAUGACUCAGUGGGGGCGAUCUACCAUCACCGAGGUGGAUUUGGAGGGGCUCGUGGCUUGGGGGAUGCUUCGCCCACGCACGGCGGCCAUGGAGUGGAUUGCCCCUAGUGGCGAGCAGUCGCCGUCCCCAUCGCCGGGCUACAUCGUCUCCUUCCUCAAGUUCCAUGAGCGAGGCCUCGCGAUGCCCGUCCACAACAUCUUUCGCGGAUUGCUGUUCCACUGCCAGAUCGAGCUGCAGUAUUUGAAUCCCAACGGGAUUCAGCAUAUCUCCACCUUCGUCGCCCUGUAUGAGGGCUUCCUCAGCAUCCCUCCCGUCUUCGAUCUUUGGAGGUACUUCUUCGCGGUCUCAAUCUACCGGUUGAAGUCCCACGGCACAUUCUACAAUGUUCCGGCGGGCUGCGCGAGCGUACAUCUGCUCAGCAGCGGUGAUCAGCGCCAGUGCCAGUUCAUCGAGAUAGGGAAGCUGAAGACCUCCAACAAGGGGUGGCACAAGAAGUGGUUCUAUCUGAAGAACGACGCAUCGUCCGCCCUCCCCUGCUAAACUGGCCGGCUCAUGACGGAGACCCCUGGCACUUGGUCGUGGGGGGCGUCGGACAAGGAGAAGAAGAGGUUUGCGUGUUAUUUCCGGGCGCUCCAGCAGCUGCGGGAGGCCGGACUCAACAGGUGCAGCGUCGUCUCCGCGUACCACAAGCGGAGAAUUGCGCCUCUCAUGGCGCGGACUCUUCCACUGUACCGCAUGGUCGAGGGCACCGAUCUCUCCGGGACCGUGAUGUCAUCGGAGGGGAUUGACAAGGCGGAGGUACUGCGACCGUUGAAGGAGACAUUUGAUCCUCCGGUGGCGUAUCCCGACCCCCAGCCGCCGACGAUGCUUCCCGAUGAGGGGGCUCUCGCGCUUGACAGGAGCGACUUCUAUUCAUCUGCUGCGUCGUUGCCAGAAGACGCCGUUAGCCAUGAGAGGAACUGCCUCGCCACCGAGGCGAACUUGGCGGAGUAGAGAAAAAAAAGGAGAAACGCAUUGAGGACCGGAAGGAUGCUGAGGAGAAAAUUCGGAGCCGCAAGGCGCGGUGUCUUAUCUCUUCCAGCGAUGAGGCUGAAUUGCUCAGCCAGCUGGAGGAUGAAUUUGAUGACGCGAGCUGCGGCGGCGACGAGGAGCCGGAGGACGGCGACC